UACGGAGGGUGCAAGCGUUGUCCGGAUUUAUUGGGUUUAAAGGGUGCGUAGGCGGCUUAUUAAGUCAGGGGUGAAAGACUGCAGCUCAACUGUAGCAGUGCCUUUGAUACUGAUGAGCUUGAGUACAGAUGAGGCUGGCGGAAUGGGUGGUGUAGCGGUGAAAUGCAUAGAUACCAUCCAGAACACCGAUUGCGAAGGCAGCCUGGCUAAACUGUAACUGACGCUGAGGCACGAAAGCGUGGGGAUCGAACAGG
rnacentral:rRNA from 1 species